rnacentral:rRNA from 1 species
ACGGAAGGCAGCAGUGGGGAAUAUUGCACAAUGGGGGAAACCCUGAUGCAGCGACGCCGCGUGAGUGAAGAAGUUAUUCGUAAUGUAAAGCUCUAUCAGCAGGGAAGAAAAUGACGGUACCUGACUAAGAAGCCCCGGCUAACUACGUGCCAGCAGCCGCGGUAAUACGUAGGGGGCAAGCGUUAUCCGGAUUUACUGGGCGUAAAGGGAGCGUAGACGGUCUGGCAAGUCUGAUGUGAAAGGCAGGGGCUCAACUCCUGGACUGCAUUGGAAACUGUCAGUCUUGAGUGUCGGAGAGGUAAGCGGAAUUCCUAGUGUAGCGGUGAAAUGCGUAGAUAUUAGGAGGAACACCAGUGGCGAAGGCGGCUUACUGGACGAUAACUGACGUUGAGGCUCGAAAGCGUGGGGAGCAAACAGGAUUAGAUACCCUGGUA